ACUAUUUUAGUGUAAAAAAACACCUUAUAUUUUCAUUAUAAAAAUGAGAUAAUCUCUUAUAGUU
rnacentral:tRNA from 1 species